GAUGAACGCUGGCGGCGUGCCUAAUACAUGCAAGUCGAACGAAAGGACGAGAAGCUUGCUGCUUUGAUGUUAGCCGCGGGCGGGUGAGUCACACGUGGAUAAUCCACCUAUCUGACUGGGAUAACUUCGGGACACCGGCGCUAAUACCGGAUAAUAUUCUGAACCGCAUGGUUCAAAAGUGAAAGACGGUCUUGCUGUCACUAAUCGAUGGUUCUGCGCUGCAUUAGCUAGUUGUUAAGGUAACGGCUUACCACGGCAACGAUGCAUAGCCGACGGGAGAGGCUGAUCGGCCACACUGGAACUGAGACACGGUCCAUGCGCCUACGGGAGGCAGCAGUAGGGAAUCUGCCGCAAUGGGCGAGAGCCUUACGGAGCAACGCCGCGUGAGUGAUGAAGGUCUUCGGAUCGUAAAGCUCUGUUAUUGGGGAAGAACAUAUGUGUAAGUAACUGUACACAUCUUGACGGUACCUAAUCAGAAAGCCACGGCUAACUACGUG
rnacentral:rRNA from 1 species